rnacentral:lncRNA from 1 species
AAAAUAUUUCUUUUAAAUGACAGCAGGCGUUGCUUUGUUCCCAGCAAGUUAGACCCCGAGCCCCUGUAAGUGUGUGUCGUGGAAAGGGCUUGCGCCGCUGUAAUCUGAGCACACUGUUGUUCUGGAAACCGCGAUUCCAGUAUCAUUUUAUCUCACGUUCAAAGUUAUGAAAAAGCCUCAUUGUCAAAACAGCAAUUUUUGAAUCUGUUUGUCCAGCAGGACGGCAGCCCGCUGCAGUAGCCUUGCGGGGAAGGGGGGCAGGGAGACGGUGCGGUACGGGCGGCCGGGGCUCUGGGCGUCCUCCUUCCCGGCCGACACGGUCCGAAAUAGAGCACAAGCCUGGGGGUGGGGCCCCGCCGGCAAAGACGGCGUCUCGCAUGGAGCGGCUCUCCCGGCCCGAGUGGCGGCCUGAGCGUGUUAACACACUCACAGCCAUGUGACCCUUCGGUCCCCGUGUGUCGGGGUACAAAUGCUCACUCCGUCAGCCUUCCCUGUGUGCGGAGGACAAAUAUUCCGGGAACCGCGUCCUUGCUGACUGCGGGAUCUAUCUGUUGAGUCGCUCUGGCUGGAGCCAUCAUUAUCUUGCCGGAGCAGCUGCUGGAAUAUUAACGAGCCGCGGUGGUAACAAGUGGAGUAUAAUUAGCACCCCUUGUUCCGCUGAAUGCGCAGUUGGAACUGCGAACAAUUUGCAGUGCAUCUCGGCGCGGCUGUAAUUAGCUCAGCCAGCGCCCCCAGCGCGGCCGGCCAGCCGGGACCAAGCCGCGGCCUCCGCGGGCCCUGCCCACACCCACUCCCGCGCCGCCCCCGGUCCGCACGCCGUGCCCGCCUCCUCCGGCAAAACUUCUCAGAACGUCCACCUGGUCCCGGUCACUCUGACCCUCCAGCAGCUCCCCUGCUCGCUAGAUCAUUCCUUCUGGUCUCUGCUGAGAGCCCACAGUGUGCGGGGCAGGGACUCGUGGGAAACAAGCACCCACCCGCCCCCCCGGCUCCCGGUGAGGCCCCGUGGAGUGCUGCACACAGCAGAGCCGCACCACCCAGACGGACUCACCUGGGAAAGCAGAGAGCUGCGCACGUGAGCAGGCAGGUGCCCAAGCUGCGAGGCAGCUCUCCAGAGACUUGGAAGUUGCCAGAAUAGCUCAGCACUCGGGCAUCAUGGAGCGAGCACAGACUUGAUGUGAGGCCCCUCAGACCUCUGGUCCCGUGACGGUCAGGUCUAUGGCUGGGCUCCGGCAUCGUGGUCACUCCUGUAUGUGCCACAUGAGCUCAGUCGUCCGGGUAACUCAGCGCUCACAGGACAGUGACCGAGCCCAGGGAAGAUCCCCUCCAGACCGGCGUGGAGCGGACAGGCCAGACGAACAGGAGGCGUGAGCCUGGGGACUCGCAGCAAACUAUAUUUUUACGACAGGAGGAUGAGGACCAAGGCACCUGCCCACCAGGUGGAGGGGAGCCCGAGAGGAGCCCCAACGCAAGGGAUGGAACCCCCCAGAAAGUACAUUCAAGUCCUAAUCCUGGAGUCUAUGCCGUGACCUUAUUUGGAAACAGGGACUUUGCAGGUGUAAUCAGUACAGACAAGACCGCUUUGCAGCCGGGUGGCUGUAAUCCAGUGACUGGCACCCCGAUAAGGAGGGGGCCUCCCAGGACACACGCGGAGGUGAGAAAACCACGUGAGAGGCAGGCGGAGAUGGGAGCGACGUCGCCACGGCCAAGGGAUGCCGACAGGCAGAAAGGGCCCUCCCUUUGUGGGGAGCCCAGCCCUGCCCACCCCUCACUUCGACUUCUGACCCCUA